GGCCAGACUCCUACGGGAGGCAGCAGUGGGGAAUAUUGCACAAUGGGGGAAACCCUGAUGCAGCGACGCCGCGUGAGUGAAGAAGUAUCUCGGUACGUAAAGCUCUCUCAGCAGGGAAGAAAAUGACGGUACCUGACUAAGAAGCCCCGGCUAACUACGUGCCAGCAGCCGCGGUAAUACGUAGGGGGCAAGCGUUAUCCGGAUUUACUGGGCGUAAAGGGAGCGUAGACGGCAGCGCAAGUCUGAAGUGAAAUCCCAUGGCUUAACCAUGGAACUGCUUUGGAAACUGAGCAGCUAGAGUGCAGGAGAGGUAAGCGGAAUUCCUAGUGUAGCGGUGAAAUGCGUAGAUAUUAGGAGGAACACCAGUGGCGAAGGCGGCUUACUGGACUGUAACUGACGUUGAGGCUCGAAAGCGUGGGGAGCAAACAGGAUUAGAUACCCUAGUAC
rnacentral:rRNA from 1 species